UACAGAGGGUGCAAGCGUUAAUCGGAAUUACUGGGCGUAAAGAGCACGUAGGUGGAUAAGUAAGUCAGUUGUGAAAGCCCUGGGCUUAACCUGGGAGAGCCAAUUGAAACUGCUAAUCUAGAGUACAGUAGAGGGGAGUGGAAUUUCCGGUGUAGCGGUGAAAUGCGUAGAUAUCGGAAGGAACACCAGUGGCGAAGGCGACUCUCUGGACUGAUACUGACACUGAGGUGCGAAAGCGUGGGUAGCGAACAGG
rnacentral:rRNA from 1 species